rnacentral:rRNA from 1 species
UGGGGGAUAUUGCACAAUGGGGGAAACCCUGAUGCAGCGACGCCGCGUGAGUGAAGAAGUAUUUCGGUACGUAAAGCUCUAUCAGCAGGGAAGAAUAAUGACGGUACCUGACUAAGAAGCCCCGGCUAACUACGUGCCAGCAGCCGCGGUAAUACGUAGGGGGCAAGCGUUAUCCGGAUUUACUGGGUGUAAAGGGAGCGUAGACGGCUGUGCAAGUCUGAAGUGAAAUGCCGGGGCUCAACCCCGGAACUGCUUUGGAAACUGUACAGCUAGAGUGCAGGAGGGGUGAGCGGAAUUCCUAGU